rnacentral:rRNA from 1 species
UGGGGAUCUGCCCUAAAAGUGGGGGACAACCCGGGGAAACCCGGGCUAAUACCGCAUAACCUCUUCGGAGUAAAGCUGGGGACCUUCGGGCCUGGCGCUUUAGGAUGAACCUGCGUCCGAUUAGCUAGUUGGUGAGGUAAGGGCUCACCAAGGCGACGAUCGGUAGCUGGUCUGAGAGGAUGACCAGCCACACUGGGACUGAGACACGGCCCAGACACCUACGGGAGGCAG